CAGCCGCCACGGUAAUACGUAGGGUGCAAGCGUUAAUCGGAAUUACUGGGCGUAAAGCGUGCGUAGGCGGUUCGUUAAGUCUGUUGUGAAAGCCCCGGGCUCAACCUGGGAAUGGCAAUGGAUACUGGCGAGCUAGAGUGUGUCAGAGGAUGGUGGAAUUCCCGGUGUAGCGGUGAAAUGCGUAGAGAUCGGAAGGAACAUCUGUGGCGAAGGCGACUAUCUGGGCCAACACUGACACUGAGGCACGAAAGCGUGGGGAGCAAACAGGAUUAGAUACCCCUGUAGUCCCUGUCUCUUAUAC
rnacentral:rRNA from 1 species